UACGGAGGGAGCUAGCGUUAUUCGGAAUUACUGGGCGUAAAGCGCACGUAGGCGGCUUUGUAAAGUCAGGAGGUCGAAAGCCUGGAGCUCAACGUCCAGAACUGCCUUUGAGACUGCAUCGCUUGAAUCCAGGAGAGGUGAGUGGAAUUCCGAGUGUAGAGGUCGAAAUUCGUAGAUAUUCGGAAGAACACCAGUGGCGAAGGCGGCUCACUGGACUGGUAUUGACGCUGAGGUGCGAAAGCGUGGGGAGCAAACAGG
rnacentral:rRNA from 1 species